rnacentral:rRNA from 1 species
UGGCGGACGGGUGAGUAACGCGUGGAAAACCUGCCGUAUACUGGGGGAUAACACUUAGAAAUAGGUGCUAAUACCGCAUAAGCGCACAGUUUCGCAUGAAGCGGUGUGAAAAACUCUGGUGGUAUACGAUGGUUCCGCGUCUGAUUAGCUAGUUGGUGGGGUAAUGGCCUACCAAGGCAACGAUCAGUAGCCGGCCUGAGAGGGUGAACGGCCACAUUGGGACUGAGACACGGCCCAAACUCCUACGGGAGGCAGCAG